CCGCUUUGGCUGCGUAUGUAGUUGAUUUUUGAUUGAAUUCCCUUUUUUUUGCCCGACAGAAACACAAACCAUCCAAAAAUAUCAUAACAACAUGUAAAUUUCCGCAAAGCCACUGAUAUCUGCCCUGAGUAAUACAAAGCAGGGAAAAACAGUCUACAUACGUCAAAAUUAACAAAUUUUUUGAGACGACACGGGCCGAAUCUUAUCAACUUAUGUGAUAUGGGCUAUUAUCAGUUUAGAUGAACAUUUUGCGAUAGAUUAGGUGAAGCGGUUGAAUCACACACGUCGUUCGCUCGACAAAAACAUUCAACUAUAAACAAAAAGUGUGUUCGGGUCAUUAAUUGAGACAAGUGCGCGCGCUCGAAUAAAUUUAGUGCAAUAUUCAGAUCAAGGUUUUGGUGUUGAGUUCACAUUCAAUCUGUGCUAUGUACUACACAUCGAAUAUAUUAAAUUGCAAUAUAGAGUUAUCUCUGUCUAUAUUUGACAAAAAUAAACAAACGCCAAGUUGUUGUUUGUAGCUUGAACCUUAUGCUAGAAAAGAUCUGAUUAGAGAUAAAAACUAAAUUCUAGCUCAAAUAAAUACAUUUUUUGGAUCAGAAUCGUUCUAUCUUUCUGGAGUGUGUCCUUCGCCAGCUGAAUGGAAAUUUUAGUACAUAAGCACAUUUUUUGUAUCGGAUCACCAAGUCAGAAAGCAUCUAGCAAACAAACGUGGCAUAUAUGUUUUUAUAAUUCUGUGAUAAAUAUUUAAAUUUUAUGUUGAAUCAAUUAAGUUGAAAAUAUUGCUCUUUAAUGGUGAUAAAUUAUUCUAGCUAUAAAUAAUAAGGAAGAUAAAUCACAGAAGAAAAACACUUUGACAAAGUACACCAAUACUAAAUCAUUUUUUAUAAAGGAGGAUCUUGUGAAUUUACUGUGUGUGCAAGACUGAUAAGUGAUUAUCAUUAUUGAUAAAUGUUAUACUCUGUUUAUCUAUUACAUAAAUUGCACCGUUGCGUCCACACAACAGUGAAUAUACGAUAAAAAAAAAUUUUACCAAAUAAAUUGCACAUGAAGGAGUCAACAAGUACGAACACAUUUAGAAAAUAUCAUUGUCAACAGUUCAAACCCAACCUCCAUUCGAAUCUGGAGUUUCUGUCAGAAAAAUGGAAAAGAAAUCGUUUGAAGCAAUUCCUAUCUUAGACAAUAAAAAGUGUCAGCCAGAUUAUGGUGCUACAGUAGCUGCCAAUUCUUAUUUGUCAAAAAAUCGGGUCAGAGGCAGCCGGUUGACAUAUCCAAAGGCCGUAAUAUUUGUGU